rnacentral:rRNA from 1 species
AGUGAACGCUGGCGGCAGGCCUAACACAUGCAAGUCGAACGGCAGCACAGUAAGAGUUUGCUCCUACGGGUGGCGAGUGGCGGACGGGUGAGGAAUACAUCGGAAUCUACUUUUUCUUGGGGGAUAACGUAGAGACACUUACGCUACUACCGCAUACGACCUACGGGUGAAAGCAGGGGAUAUUCGGACCUUGCGCGACUGAAUGAGCUGAUGUCGGAUUAGCUAGUUGGCGGGGUAAAGGCCCACCAAGGCGACGAUCCGUAGCUGGUCUGAGAGGAUGAUCAGCCACACUGGAACUGAGACACGGUCCAGACUCCUACGGGAGGCAGCAGUGGGGAAUAUUGGACAAUGGGCGAAAGCCUGAUCCAGCCAUACCGCGUGAGUGAAGAAGGCCUUCGGGUUGUAAAGCCCUUUUGUUGGGAAAGAAAAGCAGCAGGUUAAUACCCCGCUGUUCUGACGGUACCCAAAGAAUAAGCACCGGCUAACUUCGUG